UUCCUACGGGGGGCAGCAGUGAGGAAUAUUGGUCAAUGGACGCAAGUCUGAACCAGCCAAGUAGCGUGCAGGAUGACGGCCCUCCGGGUUGUAAACUGCUUUUAGUUGGGAAUAAAAGGGGGCUCGUGAGCCCCGUAUUGUAUGUACCAUCAGAAAAAGGACCGGCUAAUUCCGUGCCAGCAGCCGCGGUAAUACGGAGGAUGCGAGCGUUAUCCGGAUUUAUUGGGUUUAAAGGGUGCGUAGGCGGUCCGUUAAGUCAGCGGUAAAAUUGCGGGGCUCAACCCCGUCGAGCCGUUGAAACUGGC
rnacentral:rRNA from 1 species